AUAGGUUAAGUUAAUAAGGGCGCAUGGUGGAUGCCUUGGCACUAGAAGGCGAUGAAGGACGUGACUAACUACGAUAUGCCUCGGUUAGCUGUAAGUAAGCUUACCCGGGGGUUUCCGAAUGGGGCAACCCGAUCUUAAUGAUCAUCAUCUUUUUGAAUUCAUAGAUUAGAUGAAGCAAACGCUGUGAACUGAAACAUCUAAGUAGCAGUAGGAAAGUAAAGAAAUUUCGAUUCCGUCAGUAGCGGCGAGCGAACGCGGAAGAGCCCAAACCUGGGUGCUUGCAUCCAGGGGUUGUAGGACUGAUGUUGAGUUACAAAGGUAUAAGAUAGCAGAAACAGUUGGGAAGCUGUUCCAAAGAGGGUGACAGGCCCGUAUGCGAAAUCUUGUACUCUCUAAUCAGGAUCCUGAGUACGGCCCAGCACGUGAAAUUGGGUCGGAAUCUGGGAGGACCAUCUC
rnacentral:rRNA from 1 species